GAACUGCAUGUUCAGAAGCCUUUCAAUGUAUUUUAGGGUUCUGGACUAAACUGUGUUUUUGAGGAUUGCUUUGAACAGGAGUAGAAUAUUCUGAUGCCCAUGUGAUGUUCAGAACUGGUGACAAAGAAGUGCUCAUAAUCUGUUUUAUGAGAAAUAGCAUCGUUUAUGAUACCAGGUUGAAAGUAAUAAACACUGGCAAGUUACUGCAUGCAUAGAUAAAACAUUCAGGAAAUAGCAAGCUGUUGGCUGACUCAUCGAGAGUUCUCUUUUCUACACAGCCGCUCCAUUGUAUUGUAAAGCCUGUUCUGGAGUUUGUACUUGCCCUGUUUUUCUGUGUCAGUUUCGGGCACAUCUACCUGGUUCUGGAAGUUGUCCCAUUAUCCACGUGGGUCAUAACUGCGUGGAGUUACGCAUGUGUCUGCAGCAUGGAAUCCAUUACACAGGGGAAAAAAAAACAUGUCCUUUUGGUGUGGAGUGGGCAAAGCAGAAGGAUCCAGUCACAGGAAAAAUAUCACCUCUGAUGACAUUUCAGCUUUUUAGCUGAUUGCACUUCCUCUACUUGGAGACAGCCUCUGUCACCCAGCAGACCAUGGUUACCUGAUGUGAGAACUGCCUUCUGCAAGUGUGGAACAUGUGUACUGGCUGGAAACAAGGCAUUGCCGGCAGGGCUGAGUGGCAUUUUCAUGUGGAUCAAGUUCCAGACUCAAAGACACACCCUGUGAACAACUGAAUAGGGAAGAAUCUUUCCAGAAUUUCAGUAUCUCCUAAAUAGUUAUUAACUUGAGUAUGUUACUUUACACAAGGUAUGUAGUUCACAGUCCAAACCAGAAUGUGAUUUUACACACUGCUAUGUUCCAUCUGCCUCUGUUCUCAUCUGGCUUUGUUAUUCCAAAGUACUUAUCAACUAGAAAGAAAUUCAUACAUCUUCAUCUAGGAGAUCUAAAUUUAACCUAAUUUCCAUGAAUCCUACGGGAAAUGUGUUAACCAAGCACCAAGAUUUAUUACUUCUGAAUUCAGGACAUUUAGUGCCAUGCAGCACCACCGAAAUGCUACCGCCUGUGCCACAGAGGUGGCACAUAACUGCCACCCAUAGCACACAGCAUUCACUGUGCUCUAGGACCCUGCUUAGAAGAGUUGGAGUCUCGGAUGGCUGAAUGGAAAGAAAAAAUGUGAUCUAUAAGGUUAAACACAGGGAGAAGAAUAUGAAAUGACACUGUAAGUAUGGAAAUGUAUUUGCUUUUUGUAACGGGUGCUAGAUAGCUGAACUCCUCCUGAAAGAGUUAUUUGGUAUUGUAAUAGAAUUAUGCAAGGAUAGAGGGGAUUUGGAACAAGCAGUUACCAUGUCUAUUAGGUAACUUCAGAAAGAAGAGCAAAUAGAGCUAAGGAAUUUCUAUUUGUCAGAGGGAAGACUCAAAACUGAGGAGGUCUCCUUAGACCACCACACAAGGCAGGACAUCACACAGUCAGUCCUAUCUGUUCUGCUUUGUACUUUCCCCUUCAUAGUGCUCUCCACGUUCAUGUGAUAUUUUAAAAAGCAAAAUAACACCUAAGUGCUACAGAUCAUUUCCUACUGUGCGUUUAGAUAUUUAAUGCAUUACAAAAGGUAAAAAGUUCUCUCUCCAAGCAGUUUUUGUAUACUCUGGGGAUGUUACUUGCUUACCCAGUCAGUAUUCAGUAUGGAUAUGAAAGUUUUCAAGUUUCAGAUUUCAAAGUUUCUCUGCGAGCUUCCCAGCAGCUUGAUGUAUCACUCAAGUUAAUUGUGCUUAGUAUCAUACAAUGAAAAAGUGUCUGCUUUGCAGGGACACCAGGACACAAUGUGAAAAAUGUCUGCAAGGCACAGCAACACUGAGCAAAGGCGAGUGGGCAGCUCAGACAGGCGGGUUGCAAUUGCUCUGCAUUCCUUCCAUACCCCCCGCCUCUGAUUCUUCACUUCAUAAUUGCAUAACAAAAAGUCAUGAAUGCUUUUUCUCGUGUUAUUCUUUUUCAGCCUCAAUGCUUUCAUUACUCUAAAGGUUAUAUACAAGGGCUGCUCUGAAAGUAAUGCCUCCUGUUUUAUGAUGCUGUCCCACAAUAUCAGAGGUGGAUGUUGGUGGUAUGGUAGUAGGGGUUGAACUGCCCUGCAAAUACUGUUCCAUUUUGUUGCUGUGUGACAGAUGGCAGCAAAGGGGCAGUCUGACAAAACAGUGUCUGACG